rnacentral:rRNA from 1 species
CCUACGGGGAGCAGCAGUGAGGAAUAUUGGUCAAUGGACGAGAUUCUGAACCAGCCAAGUAGCGUGAAGGAUGACUGCCCUAUGGGUUGUACACUUCUUUUAUAUGGGAAUAAAACAGGGUAUGCAUACCCUCUUGUAUGUACCCUAUGAAUAAGGAUCGGCUAACUCCGUGCCAGCAGCCGCGGUAAUCCGGAGGAUCCGAGCGUUAUCCGGAUUUAUUGGGUUUAAAGUGAGCGUAGGUGGAUUGUUAAGUCAGUUGUGAAAUUUUGCGGCUCAACCGUAAAAUUGCAGUUGAAACUGGCAGUCUUGAGUACAGUAGAGGUGGGCGGAAUUCGUGGUGUAGCGGUGAAAUGCUUAGAGAUCACGAAGAACUCCGAUUGCGAAGGCAGCUCACUGGACUGCAACUGACACUGAUGCUCGAAAGUGUGGGUAUCAAACAGGAUUAGAUACCCGAGUAGUC